GAUGAACGCUGGCGGCGUGCUUAACACAUGCAAGUCGAACGGAGUGGCGAACGGGUGAGUAACACGUGGGUGACCUGCCCUGCACUUCGGGAUAAGCACGGGAAACUGGGUCUAAUACUGGAUAGUGUGGGAUGGGCCCGCGGCCUAUCAGCUUGUUGGUGGGGUAAUGGCCUACCAAGGCGGCGAAGGGUAGCCGGCCUGGGAUGGUGGACGGCCACAAUGGGACUGAGACACGGCCCAGACUCCUACGGGGGGCAGCAGUGGGGAGUAUUGCACAGUGGGCGGAAGCCUGAGGCAGCGACGCCGGGUGGGGGAUGACGGCCUUCGGGUUGUAAACGCCUUUCACCAUCGACGCGGUAGAUGGAGAAGAAGCACCGGCUAACUACGUGCCAGCAGCCGCGGUAAUAC
rnacentral:rRNA from 1 species